rnacentral:rRNA from 1 species
UAUGGCUCAGGAUGAACGCUGGCGGCGUGCCUAAUACAUGCAAGUCGAGCGAACAGACGAGGAGCUUGCUCCUUUGACGUUAGCGGCGGACGGGUGAGUAACACGUGGGUAACCUACCUAUAAGACUGGGACAACUUCGGGAAACCGGAGCUAAUACCGGAUAAGAUAUCGAACCGCAUGGUUCGAUAGUGAAAGAUGGUUUUGCUAUCACUUAUAGAUGGACCCGCGCCGUAUUAGCUAGUUGGUGAGGUAACGGCUYACCAAGGCAACGAUACGUAGCCGACCUGAGAGGGUGAUCGGCCACACUGGAACUGAGACACGGUCCAGACUCCUACGGGAGGCAGCAGUAGGGAAUCUUCCGCAAUGGGCGAAAGCCUGACGGAGCAACGCCGCGUGAGUGAUGAAGGUCUUCGGAUCGUAAAACUCUGUUAUUAGGGAAGAACAAACGUGUAAGUAACUAUGCACGUCUUGACGGUACCUAAUCAGAAAGCCACGGCUAACUACGUGCCAGCAGCCGCGGUAAUACGUAGGUGGCAAGCGUUAUCCGGAAUUAUUGGGCGUAAAGCGCGCGUAGGCGGUUUUUUAAGUCUGAUGUGAAAGCCCACGGCUCAACCGUGGAGGGUCAUUGGAAACUGGAAAACUUGAGUGCAGAAGAGGAAAGUGGAAUUCCAUGUGUAGCGGUGAAAUGCGCAGAGAUAUGGAGGAACACCAGUGGCRAAGGCGACUUUCUGGUCUGUAACUGACGCUGAUGUGCGAAAGCGUGGGGAUCAAACAGGAUUAGAUACCCUGGUAGUCCACGCCGUAAACGAUGAGUGMUAAGUGUUAGGGGGUUUCCGCCCCUUAGUGCUGCAGCUAACGCAUAAGC